rnacentral:rRNA from 1 species
UACGGAGGAUGCGAGCGUUAUCCGGAUUUAUUGGGUUUAAAGGGUGCGUAGGCGGCUUUUUAAGUCAGCGGUGAAAUUUUGCAGCUUAACUGUAACAGUGCCGUUGAUACUGGGGAGCUAGGAUUUGGUUGCUGUGGGUGGAAUGUGUGGUGUAGCGGUGAAAUGCUUAGAGAUCACACAGAAUAUCGAUUGCGAAGGCAGCUCACAAAGCCAAGAUUGAUGCUGAGGCACGAAAGUGUGGGGAUCAAAACCGGAUUA